AGAACGAUGUAACCGGUGCUUGCAUCGGAGAUUAGUGGCGAACGGGUGAGUAACACGUGAGUAACCUGCCCUUGACUCUGGGAUAAGCCUGGGAAACUGGGUCUAAUACCGGAUAUGACCAUCUGACGCAUGUCAUGGUGGUGGAAAGCUUUUGUGGUUUUGGAUGGACUCGCGGCCUAUCAGCUUGUUGGUGGGGUAAUGGCCUACCAAGGCGACGACGGGUAGCCGGCCUGAGAGGGUGACCGGCCACACUGGGACUGAGACACGGCCCAGACUCCUACGGGAGGCAGCAGUGGGGAAUAUUGCACAAUGGGCGCAAGCCUGAUGCAGCGACGCCGCGUGAGGGAUGACGGCCUUCGGGUUGUAA
rnacentral:rRNA from 1 species